rnacentral:rRNA from 1 species
AAUGAACGCUGGCGGCGUGCCUAAUACAUGCAAGUCGAGCGCAGGAAACUGACGGAACUCUUCGGAGGGAAGGCAGCGGAAUGAGCGGCGGACGGGUGAGUAACACGUAAGGAACCUGCCUCAAGGAUUGGGAUAACUCCGAGAAAUCGGAGCUAAUACCGGAUAGUUCAUCGGACCGCAUGGUCCGUUGAUGAAAGGCGCUCCGGCGUCACCUUGAGAUGGCCUUGCGGUGCAUUAGCUAGUUGGUGGGGUAACGGCCCACCAAGGCGACGAUGCAUAGCCGACCUGAGAGGGUGAUCGGCCACACUGGGACUGAGACACGGCCCAGACUCCUACGGGAGGCAGCAGUAGGGAAUCUUCCACAAUGGACGAAAGUCUGAUGGAGCAACGCCGCGUGAGUGAUGAAGGUUUUCGGAUCGUAAAACUCUGUUGUAAGGGAAGAACACGUACGAGAGGGAAUGCUCGUACCUUGACGGUACCUUACGAGAAAGCCACGGCUAACUACGUGCCAGCCGCCGCAGUAA